CCCGAAACCCGGUGAUCUAGCCAUGGGCAGGUUGAAGGUUGGGUAACACUAACUGGAGGACCGAACCGACUAAUGUUGAAAAAUUAGCGGAUGACCUGUGGCUGGGGGUGAAAGGCCAAUCAAACCGGGAGAUAGCUGGUUCUCCCCGAAAGCUAUUUAGGUAGCGCCUCGUGAAUUCAUCUCCGGGGGUAGAGCACUGUUUCGGCUAGGGGGCCAUCCCGGCUUACCAACCCGAUGCAAACUGCGAAUACCGGAGAAUGUUAUCACGGGAGACACACGGCGGGUGCUAAUGUCCGUCGUGAAGAGGGAAACAACCCAGACCGCCAGCUAAGGUCCCAAAGUCAUGGUUAAGUGGGAAACGAUGUGGGAAGGCCCAGACAGCCAGGAUGUUGGCUUAGAAGCAGCCAUCAUUUAAAGAAAGCGUAAUAGCUCACUGGUCGAGUCGGCCUGCGCGGAAGAUGUAACGGGGCUAAACCAUGCACCGAAGCUGCGGCAGCGACACCGUGUGUUGUUGGGUAGGGGAGCGUUCUGUAAGCCUGUGAAGGUGUGCUGUGAGGCAUGCUGGAGGUAUCAGAAGUGCGAAUGCUGACAUAAGUAACGAUAAAGCGGGUGAAAAGCCCGCUCGCCGGAAGACCAAGGGUUCCUGUCCAACGUUAAUCGGGGCAGGGUGAGUCGACCCCUAAGGCGAGGCCGAAAGGCGUAGUCGAUGGGAAACGGGUUAAUAUUCCCGUACUUGGUGUUACUGCGAAGGGGGGACGGAGAAGGCUAUGUUGGCCGGGCGACGGUUGUCCCGGUUUAAGCGUGUAGGUAUGUGUUCCAGGUAAAUCCGGUUCACUUUAACACUGAGGCGUGACGACGAGGCACUACGGUGCUGAAGCAACAAAUGCCCUGCUUCCAGGAAAAGCCUCUAAGCAUCAGGUAACAUCAAAUCGUACCCCAAACCGACACAGGUGGUCAGGUAGAGAAUACCAAGGCGCUUGAGAGAACUCGGGUGAAGGAACUAGGCAAAAUGGUGCCGUAACUUCGGGAGAAGGCACGCUGACACGUAGGUGAAGUGAUUUACUCACGGAGCUGAAGUCAGCCGAAGAUACCAGCUGGCUGCAACUGUUUAUUAAAAACACAGCACUGUGCAAACACGAAAGUGGACGUAUACGGUGUGACGCCUGCCCGGUGCCGGAAGGUUAAUUGAUGGGGUCAGCGCAAGCGAAGCUCCUGAUCGAAGCCCCGGUAAACGGCGGCCGUAACUAUAACGGUCCUAAGGUAGCGAAAUUCCUUGUCGGGUAAGUUCCGACCUGCACGAAUGGCGUAAUGAUGGCCAGGCUGUCUCCACCCGAGACUCAGUGAAAUUGAACUCGCUGUGAAGAUGCAGUGUACCCGCGGCAAGACGGAAAGACCCCGUGAACCUUUACUAUAGCUUGACACUGAACAUUGAGCCUUGAUGUGUAGGAUAGGUGGGAGGCUUUGAAGUGUGGACGCCAGUCUGCAUGGAGCCGACCUUGAAAUACCACCCUUUAAUGUUUGAUGUUCUAACGUGGACCCGUGAUCCGGGUUGCGGACAGUGUCUGGUGGGUAGUUUGACUGGGGCGGUCUCCUCCUAAAGAGUAACGGAGGAGCACGAAGGUUGGCUAAUCCUGGUCGGACAUCAGGAGGUUAGUGCAAUGGCAUAAGCCAGCUUGACUGCGAGCGUGACGGCGCGAGCAGGUGCGAAAGCAGGUCAUAGUGAUCCGGUGGUUCUGAAUGGAAGGGCCAUCGCUCAACGGAUAAAAGGUACUCCGGGGAUAACAGGCUGAUACCGCCCAAGAGUUCAUAUCGACGGCGGUGUUUGGCACCUCGAUGUCGGCUCAUCACAUCCUGGGGCUGAAGUAGGUCCCAAGGGUAUGGCUGUUCGCCAUUUAAAGUGGUACGCGAGCUGGGUUUAGAACGUCGUGAGACAGUUCGGUCCCUAUCUGCCGUGGGCGCUGGAGAACUGAGGGGGGCUGCUCCUAGUACGAGAGGACCGGAGUGGACGCAUCACUGGUGUUCGGGUUGUCAUGCCAAUGGCACUGCCCGGUAGCUAAAUGCGGAAGAGAUAAGUGCUGAAAGCAUCUAAGCACGAAACUUGCCCCGAGAUGAGUUCUCCCUGAGACUUUAGGUCUCCUGAAGGAACGUUGAAGACGACGACGUUGAUAGGCCGGGUGUGUAAGCGCAGCGAUGCGUUGAGCUAACCGGUACUAAUGAACCGUGAGGCUUAACCUUACAACGCCGAAG
rnacentral:rRNA from 1 species